AACGGGUUAGCACAUUUCAGAUUCAAAGCAAACCUAUUUCAUCUCUUGAAACUACAACACACUCAACAAGAAUAUUUGGCUUUCAGGUGCAGCCUUGCAAAACUCACAAAACAAGUUUAACUCUGGAAGCUCAAAGCACUCAAAAUAAAAAGGUUUGGAAGGAAAAUUCUCCCUUGUCAGUACAAAGCUGGAUAGUCUUUCAGACCACCACCAC
rnacentral:lncRNA from 1 species